UGGGGAGUCGCCAAGCGGUAAGGCACACGGUUUUGAUCCGUGCAUUCGGGGGUUCGAAUCCCUCCUCCCCAG
rnacentral:tRNA from 1 species